GAUUGGCGAUAGAUCAUUCAAGUUUCUGACCUAUCAGCUUUCGACGGUAGUGUAUUGGACUACCGUGGCAGUGACGGGUAACGGGGAAUUAGGGUUCGAUUCCGGAGAGGGAGCCUGAGAAACGGCUACCACAUCUAAGGAAGGCAGCAGGCGCGCAAAUUACCCAAUCCUGACUCAAGGAGGUAGUGACAAGAAAUAACAACACUGGAAAUUUGAUUUCUAGUGAUUGGAAUGAUGGUGAAUCCAAACCCCUUUCAGAGUAACAAUUGGAGGGCAAGUCUGGUGCCAGCAGCCGCGGUAAUUCCAGCUCCAAUAGCGUAUAUUAAAGUUGUUGCAGUUAAAAAGCUCGUAGUUGGAUGUCUGUUGGAAGCAAUCAUCAGUCCGCCCUAUUUGAUUAGGGUGUGAAUAUGAUGAAUUCCGGCAUAAUUGUCUCCCUAUUGUUAAUAUUCUGAUUGUUAGAUUCAUUUCUAACAAUAAUACGAUUAUUAAUAAUAAGGGGGAAAUGUUACUUUGAGAAAAUUAGAGUGUUUGAAGCAGGCUUUUGUUGCCUUGAAUACUGCAGCAUGGAAUAACAAUAUAGGAUUUCGGUUCUAUUUUGUUGGUUCUUUUUUUAGGACUGAAAUAAUGAUUAAUAGGGACAGUUGGGGGCAUUCGUAUUUAACUGUCAGAGGUGAAAUUCUUAGAUUUGUUAAAGACGAACUACUGCGAAAGCAUUUGCCAAAGAUGUUUUCAUUAAUCAAGAACGAAAGUUAGGGGCUCGAAGACGAUCAGAUACCGUCGUAGUCUUAACCAUAAACUAUGCCGACUAGAGAUAGGAAAUUGUCAUUUUACUUGACUUCUCCUGCACCUUAUGAGAAAUCAAGGUGAAAUGUCAAUU
rnacentral:rRNA from 1 species